GGCGUGAGAGCGCGGCCCCCCACACUGGCACUGAGAUACGGGCCAGACUUCUACGGAAGGCAGCAGUCGGCGAUAUUGCACAAUCGGCGAAAGCCGGAUGCAGCGACGCCGCGUGGGCGAUGAAGCGCUUCGGGUUGUAAAGCCCUUUUAUGGGGGAAGAGACAAGGACGGUACCCCAAGCAAUAAGCGUCGGCUACCUACGUGCCAGCCAGCCGCGGUAAAACCGUACGACGCAAGCGUUAUCCGGAUUUACUGGGCGUCAAGAGCGUUGAGGCGGUUCCGUAAGCUGGGCGUGCAAGCCCCCGGGCUUAAGCCGGGGAGGUCGUUCAAUACUGCGGGACUUGAGGGCAGCAGAGGGACGCGGAAUUCCCGCUGUAGCGGUGAAAUGCGUAGAUAUCGGGCAGGAACACCAGUGGGCGAACGCGGCCUCCUGGGCCUUGUUUCUGACGCUGGAAGGCGAAAGCUAGGGGAGCGGACGGGAUUAGAGACCCCGGUAGGUCGUGAGCCGUCAACCGAUGGAUGCUGGAUAUGGGGGGUAUAGAUCCCGCUGCCGUGCCGAAGCUAACGCGUUAAGCAUCCCGCCUGGGGAUUACGGCCGCAAGGCUUAAACUCAGACGAAUUGACGGGGGCCCGCACAAGCAGCGGAGCGUGUGGUUUAAUUCGAUGCUACACGAAGAACCUUACCUGGGCUUGACAUGUAGGUAGUAGUGAAGCGAAAGCGGAACGACCCUUCGGGGAGCCUACACAGGUGCUGCAUGGCUGUCGUCAGUUCGUGCCGUGAGGUGUCGGGUUAAGUCCCGUAACGAACGCAACCCUUGCCCUUAGUUACACGUGUCUAAGGGGACUGCCCGGGACAACUGGGAGGAAGGUGGGGAUGACGUCAAGUCAGCAUGGCCUUUAUGUCCAGGGCUACACACACGCUACAAUGGCCGGUACAAUGGGUCGCCAAGCCGUGAGUCGGAGCCAAUCCCCCAAAGCCGGUCUAAGUUCGGAUUGUGGGCUGCAAAUCGCCCAUAUGAAGCUGGAGUUGCUAGUAUCCUCGCGCCACCAAUAGUGCGCUGAUACGUUCCCGGGCCUUGACACACCGCCCGUCACGUCAUGGAAGCUGGCAACACAUGAAGCCAGUGAGCUAACCCGCAAGGGGGGCAGC
rnacentral:rRNA from 1 species